rnacentral:lncRNA from 1 species
UCACAUCGAUGCCUUAGAUCAAAUCUAACCAUUAGAUCGAAUCGAAUAAGUUCAGAACUCAUUACUUUUGCACAGGUUGAUGAUCGCCACUGCUGAUAGGCAUGGUACGGGGUUCUUCUUGAUAUCGAAUAGCCGCACAGAUCGUCCGACUUCUACCGAUCGUUCACUCAAAGCUCUGAUCGGAUCAUCUUUCUUGAAAGUGCUAGCUCACGUCGAAGGCUCUGAAUGGUUGCUUCAAGCUCCUUUCUUUGGAUCAUCCAGACUCUUUCGGAUUAGAAAAUAGAGCUUUACGAACAGGUGGUGGUGUGAAUGAUUGGAACAAGACACUCUUGUGUUUUUCUCUCACACAAAAUCUAGAGCUGAAACCCUAAAACCCAUCCUAGAUCUCACGCUCAAAGAGGAAGGACUCUUUCUGUAUUUCUCAUGCACAGAAGCCUGCCCCCCUCUCUCUCAGAAAAAUUUUUUCAUGGUAAAAACCAACUUUGUCACACAAAAAUGAGAGAAAUUUAAGGUGGGCAUGGAGAAGAGAUUGGAUAAGGAUAAGUGGUCCAAAUUAGUUUGAAUUCUAAUCAUUUUGAAUUCAAACUACAACCACUUCAUUUUUAUCCAAGUGAGGCGUCAGAAGAGCUGAGGUGCGAGACAUUUCUCACGCCAUUCUCUUCUCAAAUUGUUGCAUACAACUCAGCCUUCCAAAGGUGGUGGCGCCAAGGUAAGGAUAAGGAUAAGUUUUAAUUUGUUUUCAAGUCAAAUUCAAAUCCUUUGAAUUCGAAUUUUUAAACAAAUUUAUCUUCAUCCAAAUAAAACUAGAGAAGGGAUGACAAUGCACUUCUGGACGUGGAGAAAAUUCACACAAGAACCAAUUUUGUGCGUGGAGAAUGGUGGUCGACGUUUAGGGAAGAGUCCAACUUGAUUUGGACUCCAAGUUCAAAUCCAAAUUCAAACCAUUUAAACUUAGAUUUUAAACUAACCAAAUCCUAAUCCAAAAGGGAUCAGAAAGUGGGCGACAUUCACUUCUGGGCAUGAAAAAAAAUUCAUGUAAGAACACUUCUUGCAUGGAGAAAAGAAGGGUGCAGUGAUGAGGUGGCACAUAGGGUUGGUUCAAAUUAAUUCAAACUUGAAUUUUAUCCAACUAGAUUCUAAACCCAACCAAAUUAGGUUAAAUCAAUCAGAUCACUGAAUCUAAUCUAAUUAGAUAAUAAAUAGCUUCGAUUAAAUCCUAAUCAAAUUAAAAAUUAAUCGACUCAAGUUUUGAUCAAAUUAGGAAUCGAAUACCCUUAGCUAUUGGGUCAUCUUAUAACCUAAUCGAGUCAAAUCAAAUUGAAUCUAAUUCAAUUAGAUUUGAUCUAAAUCUCAAUACUCAAUCAAAUUGAGCUAAUUAGCAAUCUAUUCAGUAAUCAAUCCUCCUACAAUUCAUUAAUAAUUAGCGAAUUAAUUUAUUACAAUUUUUGCAUAAGGUUAAUUAUCAAUCGAAUUGACGAUUAUACCUUAAAAUAAUUCUCAAUCAUCGAUCAGCCACAUGAUCAAUCAGAGACUUCUUUUGAGUGUGACCCCAUAGGUUUGAACUUAAAUCGAUAGUGCAGGAACAAUCUUUCUAUACCACUCAAAGUGAACAUUUAGCAACGACGUCCGGAUAAGUCGAAAAAUUACAAAGCAACGUUCAAGAAUCUAUUGGCAUAUGCUUACCGUAUAAUUCAUCCCUUUGAUCCAAAUACUUAAGAUGACCUAAGGUUUAACUAUCAAUUCUGAAAAAGUCAUCCACAUUGUAUUUCAACUUUUCAAAUCUAUCAUAUGAAUUAUCUCGAUCGAGAUUUUACUAAAUUAAAAUACACUGAUGCAUUAACUCCUAUUUAUUCAGAGGGAUCAAUUCCAUCUUGACUCACACACUGACUUCGCAAGUACUUGACUAUGUUCAGAAAUCUUUCAUCACUGAAUUAGAAAUUUAGAUAGUCCGACACCAAAGUACAGUGAGUUGCUUGCAAGUCAUCGUGAUGAUCUUAGAUCGAAGAGACAUUUAUACCC